rnacentral:rRNA from 1 species
AGAACGAACGCUGGCGGCAGGCUUAACACAUGCAAGUCGAACGCGUGUAGCAAUACACGAGUGGCGCACGGGUGAGUAACGCGUGGAUAUCUGCCUUUUGGUUCGGAAUAACCCCGGGAAACUGGGGCUAAUACCGGAUGGUUCCUACGGGAUAAAGAUUUAUCGCCAAAAGAUGAGUCCGCGUACGAUUAGCUAGUUGGUGAGGUAAUGGCUCACCAAGGCGACGAUCGUUAGCUGGUCUGAGAGGACGAUCAGCCACACUGGGACUGAGACACGGCCCAGACUCCUACGGGAGGCAGCAGUGGGGAAUAUUGCGCAAUGGGCGAAAGCCUGACGCAGCGACGCCGCGUGGGGGAUGAAGGCCUUCGGGUUGUAAACCCCUUUCAGCAGGGACGAAGCGAAAGUGACGGUACCUGCAGAAGAAGCGCCGGCUAACUACGUGCCAGCAGCCGC